rnacentral:rRNA from 1 species
UACUGGCGCCGGGGCGGCAGGGCGGGACGGGCGAGAGCGGGCAGGGCGGCGGGGCGGCAGAGCGGGCGGGGUGGAGGGGCGGGGCGGGNNGAGCGGGCAGGGCGGCGGGGCGNNCGGUACCGGUACCGGCUACUGGCGCCGGGGCGGCAGGGCGGGACGGGCGGCGCCGCCGGUACCUGCCAGGAACGACGCGGCGUAGGGGGCGGCCAGGAGGAAGAGGAGGAGGGCGUGCGCGCGGCGCGGGAGUGGAGAGAGAGAGAGGGAAGGUAGGGACGUGGCGCGGGCGGAGGGUCGGGGCGGCGGCAGGUCCAGGUCGGGGUGCGGUGACAGCAGAAGAAACGGGUCGCCGGCGGCGGCGUGGCGUACGAGCACACAUCCCCGCUCUUCCCCUUGGUGGCGGGCGGGGGCCUCGCACUCUCCACUCUGUCGCGGGUCUAGGUGCCGCUGUAGCUGCGCGGCAGCAGCUGGACUCGGCGAUACCAGAGUGGGACGACAUGAGGAAGGGGAGGUGCCGAGGAUCGAGCCCGUUGUUGUUCGGUAGAGUUCCCUCACCUAAGAGUUCAGUGGGGUGAAGGUUAGGUACCUGCGGUAGGUGUUCCUGGUUCUACUGCUGCGCGUGUAGGAGGGAGAGGCUCGACGUUCGUGGGAGGUACCUACUCCUGCUGUUGGUCCCGUAGGUACCAGCUGUCGAGCUACCGAGGAGCCCAUUCUUUGUGGGGGUGUACCGGCGAAGUCAAAAGUUGCGAAAGAAAAGACAAACACACCCGACUUUUACACACUCGAAAUAUACCGUGUUCCCACACGUAAGUGACUACUUAGUAAUAUAGAAACUAUAAUGCUUACACACUUCAGACUUGGGAGGAUACAUGCUGCUACACAUAUAAGACAUUUUACACAUAAAAGUAGUAAACAGACUGUCAGAUUAUGACUCGAAUUUGUACAUGAGAACCUACUAUACGCACUCAACACCUGAAGGACGGGAAAUAGUGUUUAGAUGUCCUCUUGGAUGAGCCGCCAGGACUACAACGUGAGCCGUCGCCGCGGCCUCCACCGUAGCAGAACAAAGUCUAAAUGACUUAACCGGUACUUCCCACCGACUCGGUAGUCCUCGCCGUCGCCACCGGACGCCGCCUGCGACGACACCGAGGGACAAGAAGUAGCGGACGCAGAUGGACGAGACACGGCUGGGGUAUACACGUCCUUCUUUUCCCGGUAUUCUAACAUGUCCGUCUUGUCCUACAACAAGACAAGUUGGUGUAACGGGGACCAUUUGUGCUAUAUACCAACGUUUCCAACUUCUUCUCAUACAGCUAGGCCUCGGAUGCGUUGGAUAUAAUGGUGGGGGCCGGUUGUUCUAGGGCCCGGGACGACCCUCUAGUUUCCGACCUUCACGUACGUUCUCCCGUACAAUUAGUCCGUCUAAUAGUAAGUUUCACACCUAGAUACUACGAACACCGCGUCCAUAUAUAUGAUCUUCAACAAUACCGAGUGAAGGUAAAUAUAGUACAACUGUGCCGCUUAGUCGACCAAUCUUAAGACAUAUAAAAAGAAGUGGAACACUCUCCGUGCAGAAAGUUGGUUCUUACAGUGGUCACUGAUAGGCCUCCUGUACCGUCUCAACGACAUAGUGAAUGACUACGAGAAUACCAUUUGACAUGUUAUAAUUCCACAACCCGGGUCUUUGUCCUGCUCAUUAGGAGAAAGUUCUCGUGUGUCAUUUAUGUUGUAUCGUGUCUCGUCAUCGGAAACCUCGUCCAAUGUCAAAGAUGAACCACAACCUUCCUAAACCUCGUCCGAUGUAGAUACUACUGUGUCUAACCAAUACGUCCUAGAGAACCGAUUUAGGAAGACGAAAUGGUAAUCCUGUUGUUUAUCACCAAUGAAGAGUAGACUCGAACUCGACACCACUUACGCUGGCUACAAAGCUGGCGUAUACUUCUACAUCAAGAAAACCAAAUAGUUGAUUAUAAUAGCAUAUAUCUGCACUACGGACAUGUCUCCGCUAAACUUAGUCAUACCAUCGUCUGAUGGAACAAGAAUAGUAUUUAAUGCACACUAGUGGUGAUACUCUGUCAGGAAGUCUACCUAAAUGGUGAAGUACCAAUAACAUUUAAUACUUGCUUAAUACAUCAAAAUCAUAGCCAAGAAAUUAGAUGAAGGAAACGUACAC